UACGUAGGGCGCAAGCGUGUCCGGAAUUAUUGGGCGUAAAGAGCUCGUAGGUGGCGUGUCGCGUCUGCCGUGAAAGCCCAUGGCUUAACUGUGGGUCUGCGGUGGAUACGGGCAGGCUGGAGGCUGGUAGGGGCAAGCGGAAUUCCUGGUGUAGCGGUGAAAUGCGCAGAUAUCAGGAGGAACACCGGUGGCGAAGGCGGGUCUCUGGGCCGAUACUGACGCUGAGGCGCGAAGGCCAGGGGAGCAAACGGG
rnacentral:rRNA from 1 species